GGGUUGUGAGGUUAAGCGACUAAGCGUACACGGUGGAUGCCCUGGCAGUCAGAGGCGAUGAAGGACGUGCUAAUCUGCGAUAAGCGUCGGUAAGGUGAUAUGAACCGUUAUAACCGGCGAUUUCCGAAUGGGGAAACCCAGUGUGAUUCGUCACACUAUCAUUAACUGAAUCCAUAGGUUAAUGAGGCGAACCGGGGGAACUGAAACAUCUAAGUACCCCGAGGAAAAGAAAUCAACCGAGAUUCCCCCAGUAGCGGCGAGCGAACGGGGAGGAGCCCAGAGCCUGAAUCAGUGUGUGUGUUAGUGGAAGCGUCUGGAAAGGCGCGCGAUACAGGGUGACAGCCCCGUACACAAAAAUGCACAUACUGUGAGCUCGAUGAGUAGGGCGGGACACGUGGUAUCCUGUCUGAAUAUGGGGGGACCAUCCUCCAAGGCUAAAUACUCCUGACUGACCGAUAGUGAACCAGUACCGUGAGGGAAAGGCGAAAAGAACCCCGGCGAGGGGAGUGAAAAAGAACCUGAAACCGUGUACGUACAAGCAGUGGGAGCACGCUUAGGCGUGUGACUGCGUACCUUUUGUAUAAUGGGUCAGCGACUUAUAUUCUGUAGCAAGGUUAACCGAAUAGGGGAGCCGAAGGGAAACCGAGUCUUAACUGGGCGUUAAGUUGCAGGGUAUAGACCCGAAACCCGGUGAUCUAGCCAUGGGCAGGUUGAAGGUUGGGUAACACUAACUGGAGGACCGAACCGACUAAUGUUGAAAAAUUAGCGGAUGACUUGUGGCUGGGGGUGAAAGGCCAAUCAAACCGGGAGAUAGCUGGUUCUCCCCGAAAGCUAUUUAGGUAGCGCCUCGUGAACUCAUCUCCGGGGGUAGAGCACUGUUUCGGCAAGGGGGUCAUCCCGACUUACCAACCCGAUGCAAACUGCGAAUACCGGAGAAUGUUAUCACGGGAGACACACGGCGGGUGCUAACGUCCGUCGUGAAGAGGGAAACAACCCAGACCGCCAGCUAAGGUCCCAAAGUCAUGGUUAAGUGGGAAACGAUGUGGGAAGGCCCAGACAGCCAGGAUGUUGGCUUAGAAGCAGCCAUCAUUUAAAGAAAGCGUAAUAGCUCACUGGUCGAGUCGGCCUGCGCGGAAGAUGUAACGGGGCUAAACCAUGCACCGAAGCUGCGGCAGCGACGCUUAUGCGUUGUUGGGUAGGGGAGCGUUCUGUAAGCCUGUGAAGGUGUGCUGUGAGG
rnacentral:rRNA from 1 species